rnacentral:rRNA from 1 species
AGAGUUUGAUCCUGGCUCAGGACGAACGCUGGCGGCGUGCCUAAUACAUGCAAGUCGAACGCUUCUUUUUCCACCGGAGCUUGCUCCACCGGAAAAAGAGGAGUGGCGAACGGGUGAGUAACACGUGGGUAACCUGCCCAUCAGAAGGGGAUAACACUUGGAAACAGGUGCUAAUACCGUAUAACAAUCGAAACCGCAUGGUUUUGAUUUGAAAGGCGCUUUCGGGUGUCGCUGAUGGAUGGACCCGCGGUGCAUUAGCUAGUUGGUGAGGUAACGGCUCACCAAGGCCACGAUGCAUAGCCGACCUGAGAGGGUGAUCGGCCACAUUGGGACUGAGACACGGCCCAAACUCCUACGGGAGGCAGCAGUAGGGAAUCUUCGGCAAUGGACGAAAGUCUGACCGAGCAACGCCGCGUGAGUGAAGAAGGUUUUCGGAUCGUAAAACUCUGUUGUUAGAGAAGAACAAGGAUGAGAGUAACUGUUCAUCCCUUGACGGUAUCUAACCAGAAAGCCACGGCUAACUACGUGCCAGCAGCCGCGGUAAUACGUAGGUGGCAAGCGUUGUCCGGAUUUAUUGGGCGUAAAGCGAGCGCAGGCGGUUUCUUAAGUCUGAUGUGAAAGCCCCCGGCUCAACCGGGGAGGGUCAUUGGAAACUGGGAGACUUGAGUGCAGAAGAGGAGAGUGGAAUUCCAUGUGUAGCGGUGAAAUGCGUAGAUAUAUGGAGGAACACCAGUGGCGAAGGCGGCUCUCUGGUCUGUAACUGACGCUGAGGCUCGAAAGCGUGGGGAGCAAACAGGAUUAGAUACCCUGGUAGUCCACGCCGUAAACGAUGAGUGCUAAGUGUUGGAGGGUUUCCGCCCUUCAGUGCUGCAGCUAACGCAUUAAGCACUCCGCCUGGGGAGUACGACCGCAAGGUUGAAACUCAAAGGAAUUGACGGGGGCCCGCACAAGCGGUGGAGCAUGUGGUUUAAUUCGAAGCAACGCGAAGAACCUUACCAGGUCUUGACAUCCUUUGACCACUCUAGAGAUAGAGCUUCCCCUUCGGGGGCAAAGUGACAGGUGGUGCAUGGUUGUCGUCAGCUCGUGUCGUGAGAUGUUGGGUUAAGUCCCGCAACGAGCGCAACCCUUAUUGUUAGUUGCCAUCAUUCAGUUGGGCACUCUAGCAAGACUGCCGGUGACAAACCGGAGGAAGGUGGGGAUGACGUCAAAUCAUCAUGCCCCUUAUGACCUGGGCUACACACGUGCUACAAUGGGAAGUACAACGAGUCGCGAAGUCGCGAGGCUAAGCUAAUCUCUUAAAGCUUCUCUCAGUUCGGAUUGCAGGCUGCAACUCGCCUGCAUGAAGCCGGAAUCGCUAGUAAUCGCGGAUCAGCACGCCGCGGUGAAUACGUUCCCGGGCCUUGUACACACCGCCCGUCACACCACGAGAGUUUGUAACACCCGAAGUCGGUGAGGUAACCUUUUGGAGCCAGCCGCCUAAGGUGGGAUAGAUGAUUGGGGUGAAGUCGUAACAAGGUAGCCGU